CCAAGCGCAGCUGCUGUCAGCACAGCUGUCCUCUUGCAGGGGAACAGGGCUGCUUGUUCCAGUGGCUGCAUGGGAAGUGUCCUGGGCCAGGCUGCCCCCCAGGAAGCAGAAGCAGCGAACUCUCCCUGCUCUUUGGCUAAGUGACUCACGCCCUGUUCAACAUGUCAUUCCAUGUCAGCUACCUUCCAGAGAGGUGGCUUCUGUUGACCUUGGUAUAAUAAUGCUCCGGGGCACCGUCUGCAGCGUGCACGCAUGGCUUCGUCAUUAGCAGAGGAGUCACUCACUGUCAGGAGUUUGCAAGCCAAACCCAUCCUGCGGUGAAUCAGGAUGAGUUAAAUGCUCUCUAGCAAGCAUGGAGCUCACCCAAGAGAGAGGGGGAGUUCAGCAUCCUAAGGCCCCAAGAGUACCAGCUAAUGAACCAGGCAAGCCAAUUUCCUAAACAAUAUUCUGGUGCCCUGUAGGUCCCA